UACAGAGGGGGCAAGCGUUGUUCGGAAUUACUGGGCGUAAAGGGCGCGUAGGCGGCCUUCUAAGUCGAACGUGAAAUCCCCGGGCUCAACCCGGGAACUGCGUCCGAUACUGGAAGGCUUGAAUCCGGGAGAGGGAUGUGGAAUUCCAGGUGUAGCGGUGAAAUGCGUAGAUAUCGGGAGGAACACCAGUGGCGAAGGCGACUACCUGGCCCAUUCUUGACGCUGAGGCGCGAAAGCUAGGGGAGCGAACGGG
rnacentral:rRNA from 1 species